rnacentral:rRNA from 1 species
AUUGAACGCUGGCGGCAUGCCUUACACAUGCAAGUCGAACGGUAACGGGCCUUCGGGUGCCGCCGAGUGGCGAACGGGUGCGUAAUACAUCGGAACGUGCCCGAUCGUGGGGGAUAACGAGGCGAAAGCUUUGCUAAUACCGCAUACGAUCUACGGAUGAAAGCAGGGGACCGCAAGGCCUUGCGCGGACGGAGCGGCCGAUGGCAGAUUAGGUAGUUGGUGGGAUAAAAGCUUACCAAGCCGACGAUCUGUAGCUGGUCUGAGAGGAUGAUCAGCCACACUGGGACUGAGACACGGCCCAGACUCCUACGGGAGGCAGCAGUGGGGAAUUUUGGACAAUGGGCGCAAGCCUGAUCCAGCCAUGCCGCGUGCAGGAUGAAGGCCUUCGGGUCGUAAACUGCUUUUGUACGGAACGAAAAGCCUUCUUCUAAUACAGGAGGGUCAUGACGGUACCGUAAGAAUAAGCACCGGCUAACUACGUG